rnacentral:tRNA from 1 species
CAGAGGGUAGUUUAAUUUAGAAUUCUAGCUUUGGGAGCUAGUCGUGGGAGUUAAAAUCUCCUCUCUCUGA